rnacentral:rRNA from 1 species
CCAAUAGCGUAUAUUAAAGUUGUUGCAGUUAAAAAGCUCGUAGUUGAAUUUCGGGAUCAAUAUGCUGGUCGUGCCAUUGGUACGUACUAGUAUUAUUGGUUUCUCCUUUCUGAUGAAUCAUGAUGUCAUUAAUUUGAUGUCAUGAGGAAUCAGGACUGUUACUUUGAAAAAAUUAGAGUGUUUAAAGCAGGCUCGCGCUUGAAUACAUUAGCAUGGAAUAAUGAAAUAGGAUGUUUGAUUCUAUUUUGUUGGUUUCUAGGAUUGACGUAAUGAUUAAUAGGGAUAGUUGGGGGCAUUAGUAUUCAAUUGUCAGAGGUGAAAUUCUUGGAUUUAUUGAAGACUAACUACUGCGAAAGCAUUUGCCAAGGAUGUUUUCAUUAAUCAAGAACGAAAGUUAGGGGAUCGAAGACGAUCAGAUACCGUCGUAGUCUUAACCAUAAACUAUGCCGACUAGGGAUCGGAUGAUGUUAAUUUUUUAAUGACUCAUUCGGCGCCUUACGGGAAACCAAAGUGUUUGGUUC